GAUCUGUUUUUGUUCUUACCCCUGCCUUGACUUUUCCAAACAAAUCCGAGCCCCUGGGAGUUUUACUGGAAUCUCUGUUUAGUCUCUA